AAAAUUUUAAGUUAAAUUUAAACUAUAAACUUUCAAAGUUUAAUAUAUAAAAAAAAUUUAUAAAUUUUA
rnacentral:tRNA from 1 species